GCAAUGGGAUGCGAAUCUCGAAAGCCUGUCUCAGUUCGGAUUGGAGGCUGAAACCCGCCUCCACGAAGUUGGAUUCGCUAGUAAUCGCGCAUCAGCCAUGGCGCGGUGAAUACGUUCCCGGGCCUUGUACACACCGCCCGUCAAGCCAUGGGAGCCGGGGGUGCCUGAAGUUCGUGACCGCAAGGAGCGACCCAGGGCAAAACUGGUGACUGGGGCUAAGUCGUAACAAGGUAAC
rnacentral:rRNA from 1 species